rnacentral:rRNA from 1 species
CUGGGACUGAGACACGGCCCAGACUCCUACGGGAGGCAGCAGUAGGGAAUCUUCGGCAAUGGGGGGAACCCUGACCGAGCAACGCCGCGUGAGUGAAGAAGGUUUUCGGAUCGUAAAGCUCUGUUGUUAAGGAAGAACGUGUGUGAGAGUGGAAAGUUCACACAGUGACGGUACUUAACCAGAAAGGGACGGCUAACUACGUGCCAGCAGCCGCGGUAAUACGUAGGUCCCGAGCGUUGUCCGGAUUUAUUGGGCGUAAAGCGAGCGCAGGCGGUUAGAUAAGUCUGAAGUGAAAGGCAGUGGCUCAACCAUUGUAGGCUUUGGAAACUGUUUAACUUGAGUGCAGAAGGGGAGAGUGGAAUUCCAUGUGUAGCGGUGAAAUGCGUAGAUAUAUGGAGGAACACCGGUGGCGAAAGCGGCUCUCUGGUCUGUAACUGACGCUGAGGCUCGAAAGCGUGGGGAGCGAACAGGAUUAGAUACCCUGGUAGUCCACGCCGUAAACGAUGAGUGCUAGGUGUUAGGUCCUUUCCGGGACUUAGUGCCGCAGCUAACGCAUUAAGCACUCCGCCUGGGGAGUACGACCGCAAGGUUGAAACUCAAAGGAAUUGACGGGGGCCCGCACAAGCGGUGGAGCAUGUGGUUUAAUUCGAAGCAACGCGAAGAACCUUACCAGGUCUUGACAUCCCGAUGCCCGCUCUAGAGAUAGAGCUUUACUUCGGUACAUCGGUGACAGGUGGUGCAUGGUUGUCGUCAGCUCGUGUCGUGAGAUGUUGGGUUAAGUCCCGCAACGAGCGCAACCCUUAUUGUUAGUUGCCAUCAUUCAGUUGGGCACUCUAGCGAGACUGCCGGUAAUAAACCGGAGGAAGGUGGGGAUGACGUCAAAUCAUCAUGCCCCUUAUGACCUGGGCUACACACGUGCUACAAUGGCUGGUACAACGAGUCGCAAGCCGGUGACGGCAAGCUAAUCUCUGAAAGCCAGUCUCAGUUCGGAUUGUAGGCUGCAACUCGCCUACAUGAAGUCGGAAUCGCUAGUAAUCGCGGAUCAGCACGCCGCGGUGAAUACGUUCCCGGGCCUUGUACACACCGCCCGUCACACCACGAGAGUUUGUAACACCCGAAGUCGGUGAGGUAACCGUAA